rnacentral:rRNA from 1 species
AUACGUAGGGGGCGAGCGUUGUCCGGAAUGAUUGGGCGUAAAGGGCGCGUAGGCGGCCCGGUAAGUCUGGAGUGAAAGUCCUGUUUUUAAGAUGGGAAUUGCUUUGGAUACUGUCGGGCUUGAGUGAAGGAGAGGUAAGUGGAAUUCCCAGUGUAGCGGUGGAAUGCGUAGAGAUUGGGAGGAACACCAGUGGCGAAGGCGACUUACUGGACUGUAACUGACGCUGAGGCGCGAAAGUGUGGGGAGCAAACAGGGUUAGAUACCCUGGUAGUCCACACUGUAAACGAUGAAUGCUAGGUGUAGGGGGUAUCGACCCCUUCUGUGCCGCAGUCAACACAAUAAGCAUUCCGCCUGGGGAGUACGGCCGCAAGGUUGAAACUCAAAGGAAUUGACGGGG